GAUGAAGAACGUAGCGAAAUGCGACAAGUAAUGUGAAUUGCAGAAUUCCGUGAAUCAUCGAAUCUUUGAACGCACAUUGCGCCCCCUGGUAUUCCGGGGGGCAUGCCUGUCCGAGCGUCAUUGCUGCCCUCAAGCACGGCUUGUGUGUUGGGCCUCCGUCCUCCUCCCGGGGGACGGGCCCGAAAGGCAGCGGCGGCACCGCGUCCGGUCCUCGAGCGUAUGGGGCUUCGUCACCCGCUCUUGUAGGCCCGGCCGGCGCUUGCCGACACAUCAAUCUUUUUUCCAGGUUGACCUCGGAUCAGGUAGGGAUACCCGCUGAACUUAAGCAUAUCAAUAAGCGGAGGA
rnacentral:misc_RNA from 1 species